GUAGGCCCUAAUCUCCAUCAUGUGGGAUUAGGCCCCAACUUCCUUAAUAAGACUACUUUGGCACAAGAAUUAAAAUCAAGAAUCAAUAAAUGAAAUGGACUCAGCAAAAGAAACAACCUGUGAGGUGAAUAGAGAGCCUACAUGUGGGACGCCAACAUAGCAUGUGACCAGUGUGCUUCCCCUUUUGAUUAGUGUGGCACUGUUGGUCACCCUGUGAUCUGGUUGCUUGGGUAACCAAACAUAGUAGCCUGAUCUUUAGGGUUGAGAAACGCAAAUGUGUCUUUGUGCAUGGACGUGCCUUCCUACAUCCCCAUGGAUUGAACUACGCUCACCUGUUCCUUUGUAAUAUUCCCCUUGCCCUGUUUGGGAUAGAAUGUUCCAUGGAAAUGCCCUUUGUGUGUCCCCUUCUCUUACUCUGCCCUUGGGUGUGGCCUUCCUAGAUGUCAGUCAACCUGCUGACAACAAACAUCAUGAAGCUAGACUCAGCCCCUUGAAACCUGAUCCCUUGCCUCAUUUGAAUGGCUUCUCCUCAAUAAAAGGGGUCAGCACGCUCUCUCUCUCU
rnacentral:lncRNA from 1 species